UGGGCUUUAGUAUAAUAAUUACAUAACCCUGUCAGAGUUAAAAUACAGACCCACCUGUAAGCCCUA
rnacentral:tRNA from 1 species